rnacentral:sRNA from 1 species
GCAGUCGCUGCAGCCGCCGCGGGAGGCGUCCGUGACAAGAUGAAGCUCAUCAUCCUGGAGCACUAUUCUCAGGCCAGCGAGUGGGCGGCUAAAUACAUCAGGAACCGCAUCAUCCAGUUUAACCCAGGGCCAGAGAAGUACUUCACCCUGGGGCUCCCCACUGGGAGUACCCCACUUGGCUGCUACAAGAAGCUGAUUGAAUACUAUAAGAAUGGGGACCUGUCCUUUAAAUAUGUGAAGACUUUCAACAUGGAUGAGUACGUGGGCCUUCCUCGAGACCACCCGGAGAGUUACCACUCCUUCAUGUGGAACAACUUCUUCAAGCACAUUGACAUCCACCCAGAAAACACCCACAUUCUGGAUGGGAAUGCAGUCGACCUACAGGCAGAAUGUGAUGCCUUUGAAGAGAAGAUCAAGGCUGCAGGUGGGAUCGAGCUAUUUGUUGGAGGUGAGCUUGACACUCUGCAGCACACAUGUCCAGGGCCAGACCCAUGGGAAGGAGGACAAGACACCAUGCCUGUCUGCAGACAGCUUCUUCUGGGUGUGCUAGUGACCA